ACUGAGUGCUGUUUUCUACUGUGAACAUUUGUCAGGACAAUGACUGGAACUGGUCAGAAGAUGGCGCUAGAGCAGAGGCCACGUGAACAUCAGCGCAGCCCUCACUCCAUUCAUGUGUGUGGAUCUCUAAAAAAGUCUCCAGCUCUGCGACAGGCGGCGUUAACGAGGUGAAUGAGAGGUUUGGGUCUGUUGGUGUGUGUGUGGUCCCUUUCAUCAUCAGCCACAGCAGACUGUCGGGUGUAGGAUAAGAGUGAGCUAAGAGCUAGCUAGCUGAGCUAGCAAGCUAGCCACGUGAGACGCUGCAGACACUGGACGCCAGGAGCCACACUGUUUGUGACGCGUGGAUCUGCCGCUGUUAGCAACAUGAGGACGUGGCUGAUAACAUGGUGCUAACCGGACCUGCACUACGGUCCCGGAGCAGAUUUAAGGAUGAUGUGAGGCCAUUCAUUGGUUCUGUUCGUGCAACGUUUAGAAGCGCUGGCUGACGUAGAUAAGAAGACACACAAUAAUUAUUGACUUUCUGCUGGUGUCACAUUAGUGUUUGACGUCCAUCUGUACCAGAUAUAUUUCCAUCCAUCAGAACCGUCCACAGAGCAGCUCAGUGUCAUGCUGCCUCCUGCUGAUAUGGUUGAUGGACCUGCUGUCAGUCUGGCUUUGGGGUUUUGUGCUGUUAUAAAAGAACAAAACGUGUUCUAUGUUACCAAACCUUUGUUUGUUUAUUUCACGAAAAAUCACAAAUCAAUUUUAUGUGAAUAACAUGCACACUAAAACAUCCUGCUCAAUACAGUAUGUCACAAUCUAAUCUAAUCUAAAAGCUCUUUACACAGUGAGGUUAAAAUGAUUAGUUUACAUUUACACACAGAUUCAAACAUAAUUUGGCCAAAACAAAAGAAUAAAUCUGUUUUACAGUCUUAGUUUUCUACUAAAAUUUAAAUGUAUUGUUCAUUUUUCCUGCAUUGUGACUAACUGCUGCUUUACUGGAUGUUCAUAGCAGCUUGUAGCAUGUGAAUAAUAAAAUAUAUGACGUAACUGUGA